AAUAGCGUGUAUGAGACUAACGCAGUUAUCUCCCUUACACCACACUACCUCAUGGUCGAACGAUGGAUGUGAAGAAUGAGAGACGAUCGUAAUGAUUUCUUCGGAUAAUUUCAGAAAAAAAAGAAAACAGUAUCUUAAUUGUUACAGUUCUGUGAGUCUGCGAUAUUCCAUAUCAUUUUUGGCAAUGUGUGACAUCCAGUUGCUACAAUGUCCUUCUGUUUACCAUACCUCAGACUUUACCGCCGCCAUCUCUCAGCAUACACAGAUCUGUGUCAAAGACAUUUUCACCUGGAACAGAUUCGCUCGCUCAAAGUGACACCUGCCCUUCCUCUGGUCAGAACAGCCACAACAAAAGCCGCUAAGCAUGAAGUAAUAGUUUCACAAUCAACGUGUAUCUUCGAAAACCUUUCUCUGGAAGAAUGGCUAUUUGAAAACACGGACUUUGAAAAUACAUCUUACCUGUUGAUUUGGCGAAACACCGAAACAGUUGUGAUCGGACGGCACCAGAAUGCUUGGAUUGAAGCCAAUGUGCCCCUGCUGGAGCAGAAAGGCGUCAGCAUUGCACGCAGGAACAGUGGCGGAGGAACUGUUUACCAUGAUCUUGGCAACAUCAACUUUUGUUUCCUGACAUCGCGUGAGCGAUACAACAGAAAAUGGAACCUGAAUCUUGUGACAGAGGCUGUGAAUGAUCAGUGGAUGCUGAAUCUCAGUGUGAAUGCCCGAGAUAACAUCAUGUGGAAUGACAUGUUUAAGGUGUCUGGAACUGCUGCAAGGUUGAAAUCCAAAUGUGCCUAUCAUCAUUUUACUCUACUUCUCGAUGUCAAUCUGAAUAACCUGCAGUCCUUUCUCCAGAGCCCUCUGCUCGGAGCAAGUAGUCGUGCCACAGCCAGCAUCCCUUCCUCUGUCAUCAACCUCCUUGAUGUGGAACCGCAGUUGACAUAUGACAAUGUUAUCCAGUGCGUUGCUCAGCGAUUUCUUAGUUUCAGUCAUAACUCACAGCCAACAUCCAUUGAAUUCCUCGACCUUAAGAAAGACCGGAGCCGUUUUCCUGGAUUAGAUAAAAUCUUAGAAGAUCGCUUGGACUGGACAUGGAUUUUUGGGAAGACUCCAGCUUUUACUUUGGAUCGUCAUUUCGUCACACACUGCUACCAAUCCAGAGAGACUUGCUUAAGGAUCCACUGUAAAAUUCAAGAUGGCUGCAUUAACACAUUAGAUAUCCAGUUCUCCCCCUUAGAUCAAACACUCGAUAGACUCACUACCUCAACAAAUAAUGUUUUACUGACAGAAAGGCUUAGCGGAAAACAUUUACGACCAGUUUUUGAAAGACUGCGUCAGGAUUUUUCUGAAGACAAGGAAGUGUCACCGCAUCUUUUAGAUUGGUUUUUAAAUAGCUUAUGGGUGACUCUUUUUGGUUGAAAUUCGCGUUUUUGUUGACAUAAUGAUGAGGCGAACUUCCUCGACAAGUUGGAUAAACAAAUUUGUUUGCACAGUUAAGUUGCCAUGUGGCGGUUUUCGUGUCACCAACGUAUGUGUGUGUGUGUGUGUGUGUGUGUGUUGGA
rnacentral:misc_RNA from 1 species